rnacentral:rRNA from 1 species
GAUGAACGCUGGCGGCGUGCCUAACACAUGCAAGUCGAACGGAGAUUACGGACGGAAGUUUUCGGAUGGAAGACUGUAAUUCUUAGUGGCGGACGGGUGAGUAACGCGUGGGCAACCUGCCCUAUACAGGGGGAUAGCAGCUGGAAACGGCUGGUAAGACCGCAUAAGUCGGCGAGACCGCAUGGUUUUGCCGGGAAAUGAGCAAUCAGGUAUAGGAUGGGCCCGCGUCCGAUUAGCCAGUUGGCAGGGUAAAAGCCUACCAAAGCAACGAUCGGUAGCCGGACUGAGAGGUCGGACGGCCACAUUGGGACUGAGACACGGCCCAAACUCCUACGGGAGGCAGCAGUGGGGGAUAUUGCACAAUGGAGGAAACUCUGAUGCAGCGACGCCGCGUGAGUGAAGAAGUAUUUCGGUAUGUAAAGCUCUAUCAGCAGGGAAGAUGAUGACGGUACCUGACUGAGAAGCCCCGGCUAACUACGUG